UACGGGGGUUGCAAGCGUUGUUCGGAAUAACUGGGCGUAAAGCGAGCGCAGGCGGUUUGAUCAGUCUGAAGUGAAAUUCCGGGGCUCAACCCCGGACCUGCUUUGGAUACUGUCAAGCUUGAGUACGUGAGAGGAGAGUGGAAUUCCAGGUGUAGCGGUGAAAUGCGUAGAUAUCUGGAGGAACACCGGUGGCGAAAGCGGCUCUCUGGCACAGUACUGACGCUGAGGCUCGAAAGCGUGGGGAGCAAACGGGAUUAGAUACCCCGGUAGUCCACGCCGUAAACGUUGUGCACUAGGUGUAGGAGGUAUUUGACCCCUUCUGUGCCGCAGCUAACGCAUUAAGUGCACCGCCUGGGGAGUACGGUCGCAAGACUGAA
rnacentral:rRNA from 1 species